AGAGUUUGAUCAUGGCUCAGGAUGAACGCUGGCGGCGUGCCUUAGGCAUGCAAGUCGAACGGGCUGCGGUCGCAAGACCAAAGUCAGUGGCAGACGGGUGAGUAACGCGUAGGAAUCUACCCCAGAGUGGAGCAUAGCCCCGCGAAAGCGGGGGUAAUUCUCCAUGGUCCCGUAAGGGUAAAGGCCUUAACUGGCCGCUUUGGGAGGAGCCUGCGUCCUAUCAGCUAGUUGGUGAGGUAAUGGCUUACCAAGGCAAUGACGGGUAGCUGGACUGAGAGGUCGAUCAGCCACAAUCGCACUGAGACACGGGCAGUACACCUACGGGUGGCAGCAACCAGGAAUAUUGGGCAAUGGACGAAAGUCUGACCCAGCGACGCCGCGUGGAGGAAGACGGCCUUCGGGUUGUAAACUCCUUUUGCCAAGCUCUUCACAGCUUGGAGAAUAAGCCUCUACUAACUACGUGCCAGAAGUCUCGGUGAUGCGUAGGAGGCAAGCGUUAUCCGGAUACA
rnacentral:rRNA from 1 species